GACGAACGCUGGCGGCGUGCUUAACACAUGCAAGUCGAACGGAAAGGCCCUGCUUUUGUGGGGUGCUCGAGUGGCGAACGGGUGAGUAACACGUGAGUAACCUGCCCUUGACUGUGUGAUAACUUCAGGAAACUGGGGCUAAUACCGGAUAGGAGCUCCUGCUGCAUGUUGGGGGUUGGAAAGUGUCGGCGGUUGUGGAUGGACUCGCGGCUUAUCAGCUUGUUGGUGGGGUAGUGGCUUACCAAGGCUUUGACGGGUAGCCGGCCUGAGAGGGUGACCGGCGACAUUGGGCCUGAGAUACGGCGCAGAAUGCUACGGGAGGCAGUAGUGGGGAAUAUUGCACAAUGGGCGGAAGCCUGAUGCAGAAACCCCGCGUGCGGGAUGACGGGUUUCGGGUUGUAAACAGAUUUCGACUGUGAUGAAGCGUGAGUGACGGUAAUGGGUAAAGAAGCACCGGCUAACUACGUG
rnacentral:rRNA from 1 species